GUCGUGAGACAGUUCGGUCCCUAUCCGUCGCGGGCGUAGGAAAUUUGAGAGGACCUGUCCUUAGUACGAGAGGACCGGGAUGGACAUACCUCUGGUGUACCAGUUGUGCCGCCAGGCGCAUUGCUGGGUAGCUACGUAUGGAUGUGAUAAACGCUGAAAGCAUCUAAGUGUGAAACACACCUCGAGAUGAGAUUUCCCAUUCCUUUAUGGAAGUAAGACCCCUGAAAGAUGAUCAGGUAGAUAGGUUAGAAGUGGCAGUGCGGUGACGCAUGAAGCGGACUAAUACUAAUCGGUCGAGGACUUAACCAAG
rnacentral:rRNA from 2 species